rnacentral:rRNA from 1 species
GGGGAAUAUUGCGCAAUGGGGGGAAACCUUGACCAAGCAAUACGCGGUGGGGGAGGAGGGUUUCCGGAUGUUAAGGCCCUUUGAUUGGGAGGAAAAAAAAAGGGUACCCAGGAAGAAAGUCCCGUCUAACUACUUGCCAGCAGCCGCGGUAAUACGUAGGGGACAAGCGUUGUCCGGAUUUACUGGGCGUAAAGGGCACGCAGGCGGUUUUUUAAGUCAGAUGUGAAAGGUACCGGCUCAACCGGUGACAUGCAUUUGAAACUGAAAGACUUGAGUAUUGGAGAGGCAAGUGGAAUUCCUAGUGUAGCGGUGAAAUGCGUAGAUAUUAGGAGGAACACCGGUGGCGAAGGCGGCUUGCUGGACAAAUACUGACGCUGAGGUGCGAAAGCGUGGGGAGCAAACA